GCAUAUCAAUAAGCGGAGGAAAAGAAACUAACAAGGAUUCCCCUAGUAACUGCGAGUGAAGCGGGAAAAGCUCAAAUUUAAAAUCUGUCAGUCUUUGGCUGUCCGAGUUGUAAUCUAGAGAAGCGUUAUCCGCGCUGGACCGUGUACAAGUCUCCUGGAAUGGAGCGUCAUAGAGGGUGAGAAUCCCGUCUUUGACACGGACUGCCAGGGCUUUGUGAUGCGCUCUCAAAGAGUCGAGUUGUUUGGGAAUGCAGCUCAAAAUGGGUGGUAAAUUCCAUCUAAAGCUAAAUAUUGGCGAGAGACCGAUAGCGAACAAGUACCGUGAGGGAAAGAUGAAAAGAACUUUGGAAAGAGAGUUAAACAGUACGUGAAAUUGCUGAAAGGGAAACGCUUGAAGUCAGUCGCGUUGUCCAGGGAUCAACCUUGCUUUUGCUUGGUGUACUUUCUGGUUGACGGGUCAGCAUCAAUUUUGACUAUUGGAAAAAGAUCAAGGGAAUGUGGCAUCUUUGGAUGUGUUAUAGCCCUUGGUUGCAUACAAUGGUUGGGAUUGAGGAACUCAGCACGCCGCAAGGCCGGGUUUUAACCACGUACGUGCUUAGGAUGCUGGCAUAAUGGCUUUAAUCGACCCGUCUUGAAACACGGACCAAGGAGUCUAACAUGCCUGCGAGUGUUUGGGUGGAAAACCCGAGCGCGUAAUGAAAGUGAAAGUUGAGAUCCUUGUCAUGGGGAGCAUCGACGCCCGGACCAGACCUUUUGUGACGGUUCCGCGGUAGAGCAUGUAUGUUGGGACCCGAAAGAUGGUGAACUAUGCCUGAAUAGGGUGAAGCCAGAGGAAACUCUGGUGGAGGCUCGUAGCGAUUCUGACGUGCAAAUCGAUCGUCAAAUUUGGGUAUAGGGGCGAAAGACUAAUCGAACCAUCUAGUAGCUGGUUCCUG
rnacentral:rRNA from 1 species